rnacentral:lncRNA from 1 species
GUCCUUCCUACAAGCAUCAAAACCAAACAUUUUAUACCAAAUUCUCAGCCAAUUCACAACUAAAACAUACAUCACUCAUGCCAUUUCAUUAACAACAAAUUUCAUGCUGUACAUUCAUACCAAAUCAUACCAAAAAUCAUAUAGCAAACUCAUUCAUUCUAACAUAUCCAAUCUCAUGCCAAAAUCAUAAUAUUUCCACAACCAAAUCACAUUACCAACUUACCAAAUUGACCAUUCUCUUUGGCCAACCAUGAGCACAUCA